rnacentral:tRNA from 14 species
GGGUUAGUAACUUAAUUGGCAAAGGAUUUUCUUGUCGAGAAAAUAGAUAUCGGAUCGUAGCCGAUUUAACCCG